CGGGACGGGUGAGUAACGCGUGGGUAACCUGCCUCAUACAGGGGGAUAACAGUUAGAAAUGGCUGCUAAUACCGCAUAAGCGCACAGUACCGCAUGGUACGGUGUGAAAAACUCCGGUGGUGUGAGAUGGAUCCGCGUCUGAUUAGUUAGUUGGCGGGGUAACGGCCCACCAAGACAGCGAUCAGUAGCCGACCUGAGAGGGUGACCGGCCACAUUGGGACUGAGACACGGCCCAA
rnacentral:rRNA from 1 species